UGCAGGUAAAACUUUAUUCCAAGUUAUUUAUGCAACAAAAGCUGCUAUGAAUAGUACAUGCUACCAACGUGGAUGAGGAAGACUUGGUCACCAAGAUGACUGAAAUCUUUGGCAGAGGAAAUUACAUUGAUGAAGGACUCAUUGAGAAAUUCAGAGUUGACAAAGAAAGAAGGAAUUCCAGAAGAAAAUAUCAUAAAUCUCAGUGAUGCAGAUCCUUGUCCUAAGAGCUCUGAAUUUAGGGACUUGGAAACGCUGACUUUAAGCCUUCCUAUAUAAUGAGAGUGACAUCCUACAGCACAAGUACUUCUUCAGCAGACCUAGAUCUGGGACCGCUCCACCUUCCACAGCUAUGCCUCAUGGUCCAGUUGACUUUGCAUGCAAGAAUCCCUUCUAUUUAUGGC